rnacentral:rRNA from 1 species
GUAGGGAAUCUUCCACAAUGGGCGAAAGCCUGAUGGAGCAACGCCGCGUGUGUGAUGAAGGGUUUCGGCUCGUAAAACACUGUUGUAAGAGAAGAAUGACAUUGAGAGUAACUGUUCAAUGUGUGACGGUAUCUUACCAGAAAGGAACGGCUAAAUACGUGCCAG